UGGCGGCAGGCCUAACACAUGCAAGUCGAGCGGUAACAUUUCUAGCUUGCUAGAAGAUGACGAGCGGCGGACGGGUGAGUAACGCGUAGAAAUCUACCUAGUAGUGGGGGAUAGCCCAGAGAAAUUUGGAUUAAUACCGCAUACGCCUACGGGGGAAANCGGGGGAUCUUCGGACCUCGUGCUAUUAGAUGAGUCUGCGUCGGAUUAGCUUGUUGGUGAGGUAAUGGCUCACCAAGGCGACGAUCCGUAGCUGGUCUGAGAGGAUGACCAGCCACACUGGAACUGAGACACGGUCCAGACUCCUACGGGAGGCAGCAGUGGGGAAUAUUGCACAAUGGGCGCAAGCCUGAUGCAGCCAUGCCGCGUGUGUGAAGAAGGCCUUAGGGUUGUAAAGCACUUUCAGCAGUGAGGAAAGGGGUGUCGUUAAUAGCGCCAUCCUGUGACGUUAACUGCAGAAGAAGGACCGGCUAACUCCGUG
rnacentral:rRNA from 1 species